AGGCUCGCCCUACCCCGGCCGAAGCAGCAGGAAGCCACGCCCAAUCGAGACGCGACGACCAAAGACUGUGCCCCCGCAAAACUCCCACGCUCCCAUGCUCCCCCACGCAGGCGCCGAAGGGAGCCUUUGGAAGCUGCGCGCUGCAGCACCUCCCCUCCCCUCCAUCCCGCGCUGUGAUUGACCAGUAUUUUCCGAGGGGGCGGAUCCUCUUCUGAGUAGACCAAUCGAGCAGCUAAACUGAGGCCAGGAAGAGUGGGGCAAGUGGGAGACAUAGAUACUCCUGCGUUUCUACCAGUAGGUAUUUCCGGUUCCGCUGGUGGGGUCUCCCCGGUGAGCUCCAGGCCUGCUGACCCUGAGAGAUGUGAUGUUUCCUAGAAGGAAAGAGCGAACACAGGAAGACUCCGAGACUCGAAAGACAGUCGGUAAUGAGAUCUGGGAGCGGCCAGCAGGGCCUUGUGUGCCUCAAGUGCGGGUCUGGCCGGGGCCAGGGAAUGCGGCCAGGGGCCGGCCUAGUCGCAGUUGGAGCAGUGUGCGGUCUUCGGUUGGUUAUGGGGCCAUGGGAUGUAGAGGGGUCUUCCUGGCUCACAAGGUUCAGUUCAGGGUAGGCCAGGUCGCUGGUCCCCACUGCACUGUAACCUGCAGCUGUAGCCCAACCAAGUGACUCAAAGCCACGGUGGACCUUAGGCAGGAGUAGAGCCUCUGGUUUUCUGCACAGGAUAUCGAUCCACUCCUCAUACCUCCCAUUCAACCCUUUCCAGUGCCAGACGUGUCCCAUAUGAUUGACACUGGGUGCUGUGGUUAGAAACUUAAGUUAGAAAAUCGAGCCCUUUCCCAAACUCUGCCAAUGAUUGCUUCAUUCAUCUCGACCAAUUUGUAACUUGGCUUUCCUUAGCUUUUUAAAAAUUUUACUCUUUGCUCUGAACAAAGAGCUAAGAAUGUCUGUUAUCAAUAACUUAGAGGGCAAUUUUAAAAGUAAGAUAAUGUAAGUAAAAGGAAUUGUAAGUUUAUGAAGGUGUUUCAGGGGACAAAAAAAAAAAAAAAAAAAGAAAGGAAAGAAAAAAACAAGAAUGAUAGGUACCAUAAAAAUUCUAAGUGAAUCUUAGCACAAUGUCUUAUUCUAGUACCAGAUUACUUAGGGAAUGAUUGCAUACUCAUUAAAACAAUAUCACAAGAGUUGACAAGUAGCAGGAUUUAGUGGAAUAUCAAAUAGGAUAAUUUCAGCUGCAAGUAACAGAAAGCCCAACAAAAUGAUGUUCAAAGAUAGGACAGUUGAUUAAUUUACUGGCUCAGUGACAGCAUCAAAGUCCCAAUGCCUCCAUAUUUCUUCUCUGUCAUUCUUAGCCUGUUAGUGAAAGUGACAAUGCAACCCAGAUAAUGUACACAGACAUGUAUUGUGAAAUGUACUCAUCAUAAGCCAGUAAUUUUCAAGGUAAAAAGACCAUCAUAAUUUGGUUUAGUAUAUCAGCUUCAUGCCCUGGCAUCAGAAGCAGGACCCAGACUUCCCUGACCAUCUACCUGUACAAAAUCAGGGCUCUAUUAGAAAACAAAAGGAAGUAGGACAGAUAGCUAAUAGUUAACAUAUUACUAAUGACAUCUAUUGACAGCUAGGAAAAAAAUUUUGUGGAAAUGGGUCACAAAAGGGUAGCUGAGGGCCCCAGGAGAAGGAGAAGGGUGCUUCAAGGACAGAUGGAGGAAUAAGAACAAACUCCCCUAUAACAUAGAUCAGUCGAAAGCAUAUAUGAAGAAGAGCAGACAGCCUGAUAUAUGGAGGACUAAACUACAGGUAUCUUCAUUAUGUAGUCAUCUUUCUCCUCUUCACUUAUGCUUAAUGCUUUUUUUUCAGGGAUGCCUUAUUUGGGGGCUCAGAAUCUUCUAAUCUGGAUCUGCAGCUGUGUAUAUUAUCUGGAUUGCAUUGUCACUUUCACUAAUAGGCUAAGAAUGACAGAGAAGGGUCUGGGGAUGUGGCUCAAGUGGUAGCACGUUUGCCUGGCAUGCGAGAGGCACUGGGUUCGAUCCUCAGCACCACAUAAAAAUAAAAAAUAAAGAUAUUGUGUCCACCUAAAACUAAAAAAUAAAUAUAAAAAAAGAAUGACAGGGAAGAAAUAUGGAAGCAUUAGGACCUUGAUGCUGUCACUGAGUCACUAAAUUAACAGUAAGCUUGGAUGUCUUUUGCCUUUGAACCCUAUUCCCAUUAUUACAGAGAGAUAAGCACAGUUUCUGAUGACUAGAUUUGAAUCUUAUAAUAUUAACUUGUUAUAUAAGAAGAAAAAGAGUUAUUCCUGAAAUGGGAGAAGAAACAAAAUCUUCCCUAACCCUUCUAGCAGCAAACUACCAAAACUAUAAAUAAGUGGACAAAUAAAGAGGAAACAUGAAAGUUUGAUGAGAUAAAAAGCCUAAACUACAUUAAGAUUGAAAGAAUAAGACUGAAUUAUAUACCUAACUCAAUUUUUUUAAAAUGGGAAAUAUUUGAUUUUAUAUAUAUUAUAUGCUCAAGUGAUGUAUUUUAACCGUUAAAAUUAAAAAUCCACAACCUCAUUUUAGAAGAGUCUUCAUUUCCACCUUUAAUAUACCAAGAAUAAUAAUAAUAGUCUCUAUGUAUUGAAAUGCUUUUGGUAGAUGAACACCAGCUUUCUCUCAUAAGAUCACAUUUUUUUUCAUUAAAAAUAACUUUUGCUGGGCACUUUGGUGCACAUCUGUAAUCCCAGCAGCUCAGGAAGCUGAGGCAGGAGGAUUUCAAAUUCAAAGCCAACCUCAGCAAUUUAAUGAGGCCCUAUGCAACUUAGUGAGACCCUUUCUCAAAAUCAAAAAUUAAAAGGGUUGGGAUGUAGCUCAGUGGUUAAGCACCCAUGGGUUCAAUCCCCAGUAUCCCCCAAAUUUUUUAUUAUUAUAAAAGCAGUACGUGUGUGUUUUAGAAAGUUUGAAAAUAGAAAUAAGCAAAAACAUUGUCAAAGCACCACAUUCCUAUCACGAAGAGAUUACUGCUGUACAUAUUUUUAUUUGAUGAAUUUCAAAAUAAUUUCCAGAAUUAAUUGCUCAUUAGAUUUGAUAUGGUUUCCAUUCAGAGAUAAUACUGCUCUUUAGGGCCCACUAUCUAAAAUUAAGUACGUCUCUGGUUCUUAGGAUAUGUCUAUUACUCAUCAGAAAUUGGCACAAGGCCUUCUCAUGAUGCACCAAAGGAGUAUAUGUAAACAAGAUUAUCUUCCUCACAACUUUAGAGAGGCUCUUCUCACAGGUGUCCAGAAUACCCAACUGAACAGUAAAGAAAACAUGUAUUCUUGACUCCCAGUCUCUUAUGGGAAUGAUGGCUGCACCUCAUGCUUGCAAGUUUUACUUUUACCAAAAACAAGAAGCUUUCAUGAUUUCGAAACUAGGAUUACCUCUAACUGGAUAGGAAUCUCUUCAUCAGAGAUGUGGUGCUAUAAAAUGUACCUCCAACAUGUUAAUGUCAUUAUUAUAAAUUAACUUUGCUGUGUCAAUUCCAGCCAAAUUGUUUUUCAGUUACUGAAGCCAGAGAAACUUCCAUUUACAGAUUCUAGACCUGCUGAUACUGAUUAAUUUUUUUGACACAGUACCUUUAUUUAUUUAUUUAUUUGUUCGUUUGUUGGUUGUAGGUAGACACAAUACCUUUAUUUUAUUUAUUUAUUUUUAUGUGGUGCUGAGGAUCAAACCCAGGGCCUCACACGUGCAAGGCGAGCACUCUGCCACUGAGCCACAACCCUAGCCCCCCUUUAUUAUUACUUUUAUGUGUUGCUGAGUAUUGAACCCAUGCCUCACAUGUGCUAGGCAAGCACUCUACCACUGAGCUACAGCCUGAGCUCCUGAUUAAAUUCUUGUUAAAUAGAAGCUUCAAACAAAGACUCCUGGAGGAUAAUGGGACCCACAGAGAAUGCAGGUUAGACACAAUGAGGACAGAAAAGAAAUGACAGGAUGGGUAGUCGGUUAGAGACUACAUGUUUAAGUUAUUGCCCCCCCCCAAAGGGUUCAUCAAAUUAAGACUUCUGAGAUCCACUAGCCUAGGAGUUACAGAGAUGGGAUGGCCAGGAGUAAAAUGAUGGCCUUGCCUCUGAUGGCUGGGCAUAGUGGUGCAUGCCUUUAAUUCCAGUGACUGGUGACUGGGGAGGCUGAGGCUGGAGGAUCACAAGUUCAAGGACAGCCUGGGCAGAGUAGUGGGACCCUAACUCAAAAAAGGGCUGUGGAUGUUGCUCAAUGGUACAAUGCUCCUGGGUUCAAUCCUCAGUACCCUGCCUCCCCCAUAUACACACACGAAGAAGACUUUUUAAAAUUAUAUUAUUGUAUUUUAAUACCUUUUUUUAUUUUUAUGUGGUGCUGUGGAUCCAACCCAGUACUCUACCACUGAGGUACAACCACAGCCCCCAAAAGAUUGUUUUUUACCUUGAAGGAUGAGGCAUGGAUCCAGACUUAGUAGGGAAAAGAGUUUCAGGAAAGGACUCAAAGCCUUCUCUGUCCUGUUUGGAAUGUUGCCAUUGUAUUCAGAGGAAACUUAUGUGAAAUCCAUUUUGACCUGUCAAUAAAUACUUUUAAAAGUAUUACUACUGAAUGAUUCAGGGGGGUAUAGUAAAAUAAAGGCUUUCACUUAAUUCAUAGGAGGGUAAAUGAGUAUAUUCUUUUUUUAAGUGAAAUAGAGUAUUCCAGUCACUCUAACUGUAUGCAAAUAAAUAUUUAGUUUAAGCAAUAGUCCCUUGUGAGUCUAAUUAGUAAGCCCAGUUUUAGAGUACACUGACAGAUAAAUGGAGAAGCAGACCUUCUGAGACAGGAACUAUGUAGCCGCAUGGUCCUUUUCUUUCUCUGUUUUGGUUGUAAUUGCAAGUAGUCUCAUCCUUGAUUAUCCAUCUUAUACACAUGCAUUAUUUCACACCAAGGGAGAAUUUCCAGAUAUUUUGGAAACCCCAAAUAUUUUUUUCUUGUUUGUCCUGGUUUUGAUCUAUGCGGAUACUAAUAAAACCCUUAGAACCAUCCACUCUAUUUCAUGCCAAUCUCAUGUAAUCUUUCCACUUUCCUGGGAGUGCCCCAAGGAUGGUCAAGAGCCCUUUCAAGCAGAACAAGUACUGAUUAACAAGCUGCAGAGCUUGCCAUGAAGUGACUUAUUUUGUUUUUUCUCCUGGACACUAGGAAAGAGAUCUUCCUGUAAAGGCUGCUUUUGCAACCUUGUGAACUUUCCUCCUAGGUAAGUCAGGAAAGUUAUGGUUCGUGGCUUUAGUGAAGAACCGGUCCUUUCUAAUAAAGAAUCCAUUUGUUUCUUGAUUUUCAUCCUUCGUGGUGGGCACUUAGAGCUGCCACUUUGGAGAGGAGCUUCAUUCAUCCUGUGUACCGUAAAGGCCUUAGUCUCUUUCCUCCACCACCACAUUCUUCCACCAUGAUGUUCUGCCUCACCUUGAGCCCUGAGGAAUGGAGCCAGCCUUCUAUGGACUGAGACCUCUGAAACCAUGAGCCCUCAACUUAUGGUGGAUUUUUUUCAGGACAUAAUCCCAUUGUGAGUUGAAAACAUCUGUAAUCAAAAAGUGUACAGGUGGGGCUGGGGUUGUGGGUCAGUGGUAGAGCACUUGCCUAGCAUGUGUGAGGCACUGGGUUCAAUCCUCAGCACCACAUAAAAAUAAGUAAAUAAAAGUAAUUGUGUCCAUCUACAACAACAACAAAAAAAAAGUGUUCAGGUGUGUGUACAUGUUUGUGAACUGCAGUAUUGUUUACCACCUGAAUGUCCAGGUGUUGGUGGGGACUGGAUUGCCAGUCCUUGCUGUCCUCCCUCCCCAGCUAUAGGUCAUCUUACUGACCACUCUUUCCAAAUAGAGCAAGGGGUCAUAGGUGGGUCGUAUCCAGAGAAGGGAGGCUUUGGGAUCACCCAGGCUUGGAAUAAGAGCAAAACUGGACUUUGUUCCUAUAUGGGCCAGAUAAGUGUAUCAGGGCCAUGAAAAACGGUGGGUGAACAUUAAAGUACCUCAUUUUCUAGA